UACGUAGGGUGCAAGCGUUGUCCGGAAUUAUUGGGCGUAAAGAGCUCGUAGGCGGUCUGUCGCGUCUGCUGUGAAAACUCAGGGCUUAACCCUGAGCUUGCAGUGGGUACGGGCAGACUAGAGUGCGGUAGGGGAGACUGGAAUUCCUGGUGUAGCGGUGAAAUGCGCAGAUAUCAGGAAGAACACCAAUGGCGAAAGCAGCUCUCUGGGACGGUACUGACACUGAGACGCGAAAGCGUGGGGAGCGAACAGG
rnacentral:rRNA from 1 species